rnacentral:lncRNA from 1 species
UGCCUUUGGAGCAGCCAACCCACAGCAACCCUGAAGAGGAAGCCAGGGUUAUAAACACGCCAGCCAGUCUCCAAGCUCCUGCUGGUGCCUCCAGGCAGCGAAGAUGAGGGAGCAGUGGGACCAGGUGUGGCCAGUUUGUCAGAAGCAGCAGCCCCUGGCUUGAGCCUUGAACAGAUGGGCGUGCGUUUCCCUGUUCCCUGGAAGACCUGUUGAAAGAAAUUCUGGUAUCAUCUGUCAUUUUUGCUUAAGCUUUGUGCCAGUAAGCAGAUAUAUCUGCUCCUGUGUGUAACUGUUGUUCAAAAGAGAAAUAAAUUUUCUACUAUGCUUGGUG